rnacentral:rRNA from 1 species
GACGAACGCUGGCGGCGUGCUUAAUACAUGCAAGUCGAACGGAAAGGCCCUGCUUUUGUGGGGUGCUCGAGUGGCGAACGGGUGAGUAACACGCGAGUAACCCGCCCUUGACUUUCGGAUAACUUCAGGAAACUGGGGCUAAUACCGGAUAGGAGCUCCUGCGGCAUGGUGGGGGUUGGAAAGUUUCGGCGGUUGGGGAUGGACUCGCGGCUUCUCAGCUUGUUGGUGGGGUAGGGGCUUACCAAGGCUUUGACGGGUAGCCGGCCUGAGAGCGUGACCGGCCUCAAUGGGACUGAGAUACGGACCAGAAUCCUACCGGACGCAGCGGUGGGGAGUAUUGCGCAGUGAGCGCAAGCCAGAUGCAACGACGCCGCGUGCGGAAUGACGGCCUUCGGGUUGUCAACCGCUUUCGCCUGUGACGAAGCGGGAGUGACGGUACUGGGUAAGGAAGCACCGGCUAACUACGUG